rnacentral:tRNA from 1 species
GGCAAUGUGACUUAGUGGUAGAGUGCUUGCCUGGUAUGCAUGAAGCCCAGGGUUUGAUUCUUCAGUACCA